CGGGUACAACGAGUCGCAAGCUCGCGAGAGUAAGCUAAUCUCUUAAAGCCGUCUCAGUUCGGACUGUAGGCUGCAACUCGCCUACACGAAGUCGGAAUCGCUAGUAAUCGCGGAUCAGCAUGCCGCGGUGAAUACGUUCCCGGGCCUUGUACACACCGCCCGUCACACCAUGGGAGUUUGUAACGCCCAAAGUCGGUGGCCUAACCUUUAUGGAGGGAGCCGCCUAAGGCGGGACAGAUGACUGGGGUGAAGUCGUAACAAGGUACC
rnacentral:rRNA from 1 species